ensembl:snRNA U6 U6 spliceosomal RNA
GUGCUCACUUAUACUAAAAUUGGAACGAUACAUAGAAGAUUGGCAUGGCCCCGUGCAAGGAUGACACGCAAAUUCGUGAAGGAUUCUAUAUUUUU